GUUUCAUUCCUUUUCAUAACUAGCAGUCCGGACUGUUAAUCUAAGGGUCCAUCUGUUAUGGAAGUUGCUCUUCAAGAGGCUGGCAAGAAAGGCCAACAGCGAGCAGCACCGACAAACACCGGAACCAAAGUCCAAGGCUUAGGUUCCCCUUCCUACCAGAAUUGCGGCGACUCUUGCGCAGGCGCAGUGGGCUAGUCAGCGCCGGACUGGUUCCGUGUUUAGAGCCGAUCCGGGUUCAGCAGCUCCAGAAUUAGGCCGGCCUCUUCUCUCCUCUAACUGUGGCUGUCGAGGCGUUGCUGAACGAAUCAGACUCUGUCCUCCACGCUUGGCUCCUGGCCACAGUGCCCGCCCCGGCCGGAAGUUGCACUGCAGCAGAGGGACAACUUCGGACGUCAGACAGCAAGGUUUUUCUUUCUUCUGUGCCUUACUUAUCCUUGCAAGGGGAUUGUGCCGUGCACCAGUUCCUACUCCUGAGCACUGAGCCUCAAAGACAAUAGCUAUAAAUCCCACUAAGCAGAACUGUUAAACUAACAUGCGUCCCUUAAUGCAUAUUUAUUUAUCUCUGAAAAAGUAGCAGGGACCAUUGAAAACAGAAAGUUUUGUGACAGUGUUUCUUCCCUUUCUGUGCUAAUCUGAAUUUUGGACUCUAGACACAGAACUCUAGAUUUUGAUUAUCUUUUUAACAUAAAUUACAAUAGUGGGCAUAUUCUUCCAUUGUAGGCGUUCCACAGUGCAACAUGGAGUCGCUUUCUAGGUUUCAGUCAUUUCACGCAGCAGGUGAGGGCCGUGGUGACAUUAGGCCUGCCUGCAAAUAGAACAGAAGGGCCUGAUGACAGGCACCAGACGGCGAGACACAGAGGAAAACGGGAGGGCAGGGAGAAUUGGGAUCUGUACAGUGAAUGCUUAAAAGUGCCAGAAAGUAGUAGAUGUAUAUUUGAGUAGUUUAACAAAAUGUUUUAAAAAUACACACCAAGCACCCAUUGUGUAUAUGUCGGGCACUGUGCUGAGCCUGGGUCAUAGGGCAGUGAAGAAAAUAUGACUCUUUGGAAGACAGGCUGUAAACAAAUGCAAAUAAAUGAAAGUGUGCCCGGUGCCGCGGAAGAUAAAUCUUGAACACUGCAGGUAUGUCCUGCACAGGCACUGCAGACUUCUCAGGGAUUGAAGUAGAAGCUGAAAAGUGAAGGUCAGGUAAGAGGUGGUUGGGAAAGAGGGCAGUGCUGGCCUAGCGCAAGAUGACGUGAGUGGGCGGAAGGAGCAAUACUGUUCCAGGAGCUAAGAAAAGUCCCCUGUGCUGGAGCAGGGAGGAGGGAAGAAUUGCGGGAGUUGAGCCUGGAGAGGUGCCCAGCCUUUCAGCCAUUCAAAGAUUUUAGAAUUGAAGGGAAAGGGGACUCGUUUUAAGAUUUUUAAGGAACGUAUUCUUACGAUCAGAUUUGUGACUUUUAAGUAUCUCGGCAGCCAUGAAGGAAACGGAUUAUUAGAGGUUUGGGUAGGAGAUAGAGGAUCAUCAAGGAGGCUUACGUUGUUACCAAGUGAAAGUCAAAAGUAGCCUGAACUAGGGUGCUGAUGUUGGGGAUGGGAUCAGGUGGGUGGAUUUGAGAGAGGGUCACAAGAUAGAAUAGACAAGAAUUUGUAGCUACUAGAAUGUCGGGAAUGAGGAAGGAGGACUCGGGGAGAUCUCCUAAAGGUGCAGCUUUAGGAAACUGAGUUUGUGGUGAGCCUGCUUGCUGAAAGUAGCAGUGAUGAAGACAGAAGAGAACGGGGUUAGGGUGGGCUGGGUAUUUAGUUUGAGGCAGCAAGUGGCUAUGUUACAGAGGGCAGUGGGAUGGGUGGACCUGGAGCGCCUAGAAGGCAGAGCGAUGAAACUCUUGGCCAAACCACAAGGCUAUCGACCCAGGGCUCUGUGAACUUCCCCUGGGGAGGAGAGAGCCUGAUAGGAGGCCCGAGCCAUGG
rnacentral:lncRNA from 1 species